rnacentral:tRNA from 1 species
GGAGGUAUAGCUCAGUGAUAGAGUGCGCUGGCAUGCACAAGGUCCUGGGUUCAAUUCCCUGCGCCUCCA